rnacentral:rRNA from 1 species
GGGGAAUCUUCCGCAAUGGACGAAAGUCUGACGGAGCAACGCCGCGUGUAUGAUGAAGGUCUUCGGAUUGUAAAGUACUGUCAUUGGGGAAGAACGGUUUUCUUGAAAAGAUUGAGAAGACAUGACGGUACCCAAGGAGGAAGCCCCGGCUAACUACGUGCCAGCAGCCGCGGUAAUACGUAGGGGGCAAGCGUUGUCCGGAAUUAUUGGGCGUAAAGGGCGCGUAGGCGGGCCUUUAAGUCCGGUGUGAAAGAUCAGGGCUCAACCCUGAGAGUGCAUCGGAAACUGGAGGCCUUGAGGACAGGAGAGGAAAGUGGAAUCCCACGUGUAGCGGUGAAAUGCGUAGAUAUGUGGAGGAACACCAGUGGCGAAGGCGACUUUCUGGACUGUAACUGACGCUGAGGCGCGAAAGCGUGGGGAGCAAACA